CAUUGAGCUGCUGACAGGAGAGGUUCCUAUAAGGUGUCAGGAUGUCUCUGUCUAUUUCUCCAUGGAGGAGUGGGAGUAUCUAGGAGGACACAAGGAGCUCUACAAGGACAUCAUGAUGAAGAACUGGCCGCCCCUCACAUCACCGGAUGGGUCCAGGAACAGAAAUCCCCCAGAGAGAUGUCCCCGUC